rnacentral:lncRNA from 1 species
CACAUGCACAUUAUUGUAAAAAUCACUACACAAUCGAUAUAAAGUUAAUUCCAGGAUGGGCCCUGGACUACCCUAGUCUCCCUGUGGCUCCGCCACUGAGUAUCUAUACUACAAAAUUGUAUUCUUGCAAGUAUUUCAUGUGAUUUUGAUCUUAUUUACAUAGACAACAAAAUCCUAUCAGGUAUUUCCUUUGUGAUUAUAUUGAUUUCAAUUUCUCCCAAUUUUCCCCUCCCCAAUGUAAAAAAAAGUAGAAAUUUCUCCCAAUUUCUCCCAAUCCCUGUUUACGAUGAUGCAGCCUGCUCAGCAUUUAAACCUCAACAAAGAACUCCUCAUCGCCCUGUUGCCUUCCAUGGUAAGUCUUUUAAUUGCUACAAUCGUUCCAUCACUGAAGACACCCUUGAACACCUUGCCAAAACCACCCUCUCCAAGUAUGCUUACAAAGUUUAUGGGCAGGAAACUUACCUCGGAGGUGAUCCAAGGCGAAGAUCUCGAACUCUUCUAGACGAACUUCAAGGGUAGGAGCAGAGCAGUAGAGAGGGAGGAUGAGCAUGAAGAGAACAACCCUAAUUUUUAUUUUAUGAUUGUUCGUAACUAAUUCCUUUUGCUAGGGCGAGGCCACAAGUCUUAGCAAGAAUAUAUAGUUUCUUUUCAAUUUACUUAUGAUAUUAUGCAUGCAUGUUUUCAAUUAUUAAUCACUGUUUUAAGAUAUCUAAGUGUUUUAGUGAUUCACGACUAUUAGGAUAUUUAGGAAAGUAAUUUGAUGCAAUUUUGGUCGGAGGGUUCCUUGAAAUUGGCGUUGACUUCUUGUGGUUAAUAAUUGUAAUUUCACUUAGGAUGAACAUCAUGUCUUAAGGGUUGCAUCGUUUUUCUAAGGGUUUUCAUAAAACUUAAUGAGUCUGUUCAUAUUUGAUGCGAAAGUCUGGACAUGUUGCAUGUUAGAUAUACGUUUUAUGUUGGAGGUUCCAAGUAGGACAUAUAUUAGGAAAACCUAACAUUCAAAGUAUGCAUAGGUAUUUUAUAAGUAAUUGGGAUAACUACGUAGGAUUGUUAAGGUGAUGGCGGAACCCUAGUGUCUCUUUAAAUUGAUUUUCUUUAAAUUGUUUUCUAGUUAAUUUAUUUAAUUAUUUUUAUUUUAAAUUCUUUUUUAAUAUUUUAAAUGUCAAAAUUAACAUUUUCUAAACUUUGUUUUAAAAUAAUUAAUUAAAAGUUGGUUUUAAAUAAAUAAAAAUUAUACAUUCAAUUCAUGUGGAACACGACCUUACUUGAGUCAUUUAUACUAUAACUACCUUGUUCUCUUACAAGUAUUUUUAAUGUGUUUUUAUCCCUAUUUGUGUAGGUGGUAAAAAUCCUAUCAUGUUCCAUCAAAGACUUUUUCUCCCAUUAAUGGCCAACACGUGGCUUGAAGUUGACAUAUGGAUAGACUUGUCCUUAAAGCCAUGUGCCAGAAAGUUUUCAGGACUACCAAUUGCUUGGGCGGUCGGAAAGUACUUUAGGUUGCAUUCAUCUCUUCCUGUCGAUAGACUAUACAGGACUAGGACCGGUCCUUUGUUAGUGGUCGUCUUUUGUCAUUGCAGUAGUGCUAUGUCUGCUAAAUGUUGGGCUGGCUUGUUAGGCUCAAUGUCUUGAUCCUCUCAUCUAGUAGUGGGCUUUGCCCAUCUAUUUAAGUGCAAAAUAACUAUGUAUUGUUUCAAUAAGUCUAAAAAGACCCUGUGUUAGCAAUAUUUUCUAAUAAUUGCAUAUAAAAGUUUCUAUCUUCAUAUUGUUAGAGCAAUUUCAAAAAAUAUGAAAAUAAUAAGACAAAAUGAUUGAAUAAUUAAUUUGAUUAAUUGGAUAACGAUUGAAAUUUAGUGAAAUAGUUUAAAUUAAAUGAUGUUUAGACGUCUUAAAUGGCUCCCAAAAUAACUUUGAAUUAGUCAACUCAUAGGGCAAGAACCUAUCGGGUUUACAUUAAGUUACAAGAUGUCUUAAAGUUAAAAAGUGGUCCAAAUGACCUAUUAACCUAUUCUGUUCCAAACAUUUUGAGGGAGAGGGCUUCUGUCUUGACAUAAACAUCCAUAUGGUCACUUAUCCACUAAUCGCUCUACAAGUGAUGCAUGCUUUUGAGAAAUGAAAGAAACUAGAAUUAAGAGAAGAAAAAAAAAAUAGCCUUUUUUUAGACAGAAGUUCAGGCUCCAUCAGCCUUGAAAUUGAGAGUGAAAUUCCAUCUCGUUCUCCUCUUUCUAUUAGACAAAGAGUGCACCAACGUCCACUCCUUCUCUAGGUCCUUUAUUCAUCUGGAAUGCUAUAAGGUGUGGAGACUUUAGAGGUGUUUGGAUUAAAACUUAAUUUUUGGCCCAAAGAUGGAGUCGGCCCAAAAGGAGGCCUGGAGGAAUGGAAGAUCAAGGCCCGGCCGAAACCUGGGAAAGCAAGAAAGGGCCUUUUCUGACUUGAUACAAUUCAUAAGGGCCACUUGCCUACCUACCCAAGGACCAAGUGGUGUAGACUGAUCAGACUGCACAGCCCAUAAAGUACUUUAUGGUGACAUUACAUGUAAUAAAGCUGAUGAGUCAUCACCCUCAGACCGCAUUUGGGCAA